AUGAAAGACCAUGCCCCCUUCAAAGGAAAUGAUCACAAAAAUGCUAAAAUAGGGUGGGCUCGUUUAAAAAGUUCUUCUCAAAAAUCACUGGGCUAGAAGAGUUGAAAUUUACAUCAAAGCUUUCUAACAGUGCAAAUUUAAUUUUGUUCAAACCAAAACCCACAGGAGUAGGGUAGGGCCACAAUAGCCGUGUUUCGAGUUACUCCGGAACACAGUGUUUAUUCUGUGUUUAGUCACGCCGCGUCAAAAAUGUUCCACAGGGUUACUUCCGGUUUAUCGUUGUUUACCAACAGUCGACACUUCGUGUAUUAGGCCUAGGCUUAAUUUUGUCGAUCAUCAUGAAAUUGAAAUACAAAUUUAAUAGUUUGGGGUGUAUGCGGUACAUAUUUGUUUAUGAGCGUUUGAUAAGCUACUAUUGAUCUACGAAAUACAACGAAAGACUUCGUCAAGAACAGAAGAAGACGAUGCAUGUCGUGUAACUCACACAAGGCCCAGCUGUCUAGUAACCGGAGGGGUAAAGGAAAAGAACGUAUUAGACUCACUGAAACCUGUCAAACAGGUAUAUGGGAACAGGAUCAUUUUCCAUGCCUUUCACUUGAGGUCUUCAGUUUCAUCAUUAAUCAUCUGAAUGUCGGUAUGCCAAACUCUCAUGAUGUCAUGCCAUUACUGGAUAUUCCUUAACACUGGUUUAUUUAAGCCACACUACCUAUAACAUUGCCAAAAUAUUAGACUGAAAAUUUUCAAAUACACAAGAUUUGAAGCAGCAAAAGAAAAGAAUUACAUAUGUAUAACACACAAAAAAGAAGAAAUUAAUUCUCACC